rfam:Trametes cinnabarina, BRFM137, WGS project CCBP01000000 data, contig: scf185016
UCCGAUAUGGUGUAGUGGCUAAUAUUAUCGCCUCUCACGCGAUAGCCCGGGGUUCGAUUCCCCGUGUCGGAA